rnacentral:rRNA from 1 species
GAUGAACGCUGGCGGCGUGCUUAACACAUGCAAGUCGAGCGAGAAGUUUUGAAAAGAUUCUUCGGAUGAAAUUUAAAAUGGAAAGCGGCGGACGGGUGAGUAACGCGUAGGCAACCUGCCCCGUACAAAGGGAUAGCAUUUGGAAACGAAUAUUAAUACCUUAUGAAACUUAACUAGUGCAUGCUAGGUAGGUCAAAGAUUUAUCGGUAUGGGAUGGGCCUGCGUCUGAUUAGCUAGUUGGUGAGGUAACGGCUCACCAAGGCGACGAUCAGUAGCCGACCUGAGAGGGUGAACGGCCACAUUGGAACUGAGACACGGUCCAAACUCCUACGGGAGGCAGCAGUGGGGAAUAUUGCACAAUGGGGGAAGCCCUGAUGCAGCAACGCCGCGUGAACGAUGAAGGCCUUUGGGUCGUAAAGUUCUGUUCUAGGUGAUGAAAACUGACAGUAACCGAGGAGAAAGCCCCGGCUAACUCCGUG